UAUGCCCAACUUUUAAACCAACCGUAAACACGAAGCUUCAGUGCCACCUGGAAUCCCACAUAAAACAUUCCAUUACAUUUAAAGGGGCCACUUGACAACAUUGUGGCUGGAGUUUCCUGGCUGCGUCAGAAUGCAGGUUUGCUCAGGGGGAAGGUGGUCGAGCCCGCAUUUCCGAAUAUGGACGCAAAAGAACAGCAGGAGCUCCUGGAAAGGAUACGUUCUUCAACUGAUGAAGAAGAAAAGUAUCCCCUGCUCUUCACAUUUGAUUUUCAGGAAGACAUGGAGGUCUUCCUUAACAUGGCAGCUGAGGAGGAUCUUCGGGUCAACGCCAUGUUUCUGGGUCGCUGGGUGGACAGCCAGUGACAUUGCUGUGUGUGUGUGUGUGUGUGUGUGUGUGUGUGUGUGUGUGUGUGUGUGUGUGUGUGUGUGUGUGUGUGUGUGUGUGUGUGUGUGUGUGUGUGUGUGUUGAGGUUCUGAGUUCAGUUAUCUGUUGAGUGUUCUUAAUAAAGUGUUAUAACGUUUACAAUGUA